rnacentral:tRNA from 1 species
GCCAGUGUGAUGGAAUUGGUAGACAUGACGGAUUCAAAAUCCGUUGCUAGUAAUAGCGUGGCGGUUCGAGUCCGCCCACUGGUACCA